CGUAGGGAGGGCCCCCCACCUCGUCUUUCCAGAGCGGCGUGAGCGAGGCGGCGGUACCAUGGCCUUGGAGGCGAUCCGCUACUCCCGGGGCUCGCUGGAGAUCCUCGACCAGCUGCUGCUGCCCCAGCACAGCCGCUACGAGGCAGUGGGCUCGGUGCGCCAGGCCUGGGAGGCUAUCCGCGCCAUGAAGGUGCGCGGCGCCCCGGCCAUCGCGCUCGUGGGCUGUCUCAGCCUCGCCGUGGAGCUGCAGGCGGGUGCGGGGGGACCGGGCCUCGCCGCACUGGUGGCUUUCGUGCGCGACGCGCUGAGCUUCCUGGUCACCGCUCGGCCCACCGCGGUCAACCUGGCUCGCGCGGCCAGCCAGCUGGGCGACGCCGCAGCCUUGGAGGCCGAGCGCGAGGGCGCCACGGAAGAGACGGUCCGAGAGAGAGUGAUCUGCUGUGCCGAGGACAUGCUGGAGAAAGACCUCAGAGACAAUCGGAGCAUCGGGGACCUAGGAGCCCGCCACCUCCUGGAGCAGGUGGCUCCUGGGGGCGGCAAGGUGACCGUGUUGACCCACUGCAACACUGGUGCCCUGGCCACUGCUGGCUAUGGCACGGCCCUGGGGGUGAUCCGCUCGCUGCACACCCUGGGCCGUCUGGACCACGCCUUCUGCACGGAGACCCGGCCCUACAACCAGGGAGCCCGGCUGACUGCCUUCGAGCUGGUCUACGAGCAGAUCCCCGCCACGCUCAUCGCCGACAGCACGGCAGCAGCCGCCAUGGCCCACAGAGGGGUGUCAGCCGUCAUCGUAGGAGCCGACCGCGUGGUUGCCAACGGUGACACAGCCAACAAGGUGGGCACCUACCAGCUGGCCAUCGCUGCCAAGCACCACGGCAUCCCCUUCUACGUGGCCGCCCCCAGCUCCUCGUGCGACCUCCAUCUGGAGACAGGCAGGGACAUCGUCAUCGAGGAGCGCCCAGGGCGGGAGCUGACCGACGUCAGUGGCGUCAGGAUGGCAGCCCCCGGGAUUGGGGUUUGGAAUCCUGCCUUCGAUGUCACCCCCCACAACCUCAUCACCGGCGGCAUCAUCACAGAACUGGGGGUCUUUGCUCCUGAGGAGCUCCGGGCAGCCUUAAGCACCACCGUCUCCUGAGGGCGGGUACCCCAGCUGGACCCCAGAAGUAACCAAGCUGACUCUCCAUAUCCUGCCCCCAUUGCCUUAGGUUUUGCAAAGCCCUCCGUAUCAUGUACGUCUGUGGGCGUCUGUCUCUUUAAUGCCGUGCCCCGUUGUGUCCCGUGAAUCUUUGCGCGCGCCCUGCCGGCCCCACUGUAUCC